CGGCCCACCAAGGCGACGAUGUCUAGGGGCUCUGAGAGGAGAAUCCCCCACACUGGUACUGAGACACGGACCAGACUCCUACGGGAGGCAGCAGUAAGGAAUAUUGGUCAAUGGGGGCAACCCUGAACCAGCCAUGCCGCGUGCAGGACGACUGCCCUAUGGGUUGUAAACUGCUUUUGCCGGGGAAUAAACCCCACUACGUGUAGUGGGCUGAACGUACCCGGAGAAUAAGGAUCGGCUAACUCCGUGCCAGCAGCCGCGGUAAUACGGAGGAUCCGAGCGUUAUCCGGAUUUAUUGGGUUUAAAGGGUGCGUAGGCGGCACUUUAAGUCAGGGGUGAAAGACGGCAGCUCAACUGUCGCAGUGCCCUUGAUACUGAAGUGCUUGAAUGCGGUUGAAGACGGCGGAAUGAGACAAGUAGCGGUGAAAUGCAUAGAUAUGUCUCAGAACACCGAUUGCGAAGGCAGCUGUCUAAGCCGUUAUUGACGCUGAUGCACGAAAGCGUGGGGAUCGAACAGGAUUAGAUACCCUGGUAGUCCACGCCCUAAACGAUGAUAACUCGAUGUUUGCGAUAUACCGUAAGCGUCCAAGCGAAAGCGUUAAGUUAUCCACCUGGGGAGUACG
rnacentral:rRNA from 1 species